rnacentral:rRNA from 1 species
GUGGGGAAUUUUGGACAAUGGGCGCAAGCCUGAUCCAGCAAUGCCGCGUGCAGGAAGAAGGCCUUCGGGUUGUAAACUGCUUUUGUACGGAACGAAACGGUCCGGGUUAAUACCCUGGGCUAAUGACGGUACCGUAAGAAUAAGCACCGGCUAACUACGUGCCAGCAGCCGCGGUAAUACGAAGGGGGCUAGCGUUGCUCGGAAUUACUGGGCGUAAAGGGCGCGUAGGCGGACAGUUUAGUCAGAGGUGAAAGCCCAGGGCUCAACCUGGGAAUUGCGCUUGUGACUGCAAGGCUGGAGUGCGGCAGAGGGGGAUGGAAUUCCGCGUGUAGCAGUGAAAUGCGUAGAUAUGCGGAGGAACACCGAUGACGAAGGCAAUCCCCUGGGCCUGCACUGACGCUCAUGCACGAAAGCGUGGGGAGCAAACAGGAUUAGAAACCCCAGUAGUCC